ensembl:misc_RNA 7SK 7SK RNA
GGACGUGGGGGCAACCUGGCUGUGCCAUCUCUCACCUUACUGAUCACCAAGGUUGAUUCAGUUGACCUGCCUGGGUAGGCAGGUGUCCCCUUCCUCCAUCACCACUCCAUGUGUAUCCCUCCCAAAGCUGUGCACCCAAAGAAGACAACCUUCCCUGAUGGAAGAGGACCAUUCUCUGUCAAGGGUAUAGGAGUAGCCACACUCACUAGAACCUUCAAACAAGUUUUCAAGGUCCAUUUGCAGGAAAACAUAAGGUAGUCAAGCUUCCAAGACUCCAGACACAGCCAAAUGAAGCACUCCAUGUGGCAGUCUGCCUUUUUUU